AGAUAAUACCAGAAGUCUUACUCAAGCGGAAACAUGUCCCAUCUUUUUUAUUGCGCAUGCGCGAGCUAAACAAGUGUAAUGCAAUGUUGACAAUAGAAAAUUAUAUUGGGAAGUUGUCAUUCCUACAGUAAAAACAGCUUUUUUUCAAGUAGUACGAAAUGUGACUUCGAUUUAUCUGUGGAACUAUUUGAACAGAAGGUAAAGCAGUAAUUUUGUUGUAUUUAGAAAGCAAACAGGGUCAUAUUUUAAAGAAAAGAGCGCACUAAAUAUAAAUUUGAGCAUCAUUAAAAUGUGUUCGCUAUGAUGCCAUUUUGUCUCCAGUAUAUACGGAGUACUGCUUUUAUACUGGUGGAUAUUCGAAUUUAUUUGGCUCAAAAACACCAUUACUUCAAUAUCCCUUUCUUGUUUUUCCUUGGAUAGGUUUUAACAAGAUAGAACUCUAGAUCCCUUGGGUCCAAAAACGCUAGAUUAUAAAAUCCUGAUGUGACUUGAUACUACAAAUAGAAUAUGUCUUGUGAUGUAAUACUACAAAUAGAAUGACAAACUUCAAUGAAUUGAUAAAGUGUAAGGAUAGUGUUUAAAGUUGCUUCAUGUGUAGAAGCUGAAUUACUUUAGUUUAUACACUGUAAUGUCGAUAUCACAUGCUGAUGACUUUAAUACCAGCAACUUGCAAUAAGUGGUCUGUCCUGCUUGUUUAUAAUACUUUAGAGUUUGGACGUUAGAACAUUGUAAAUGCCUGACAGAGACUGUUAGGGCCUGUUUGUAUGGAAGCCGGGCUGGCCCGCUUAGCGAGACAGCCCGGUAAGGUAGAUACGCAGGAUGAUUUCUCUUGUGUUUAUUUGAGAAAAUUUCAUCCUGCUUACCGGUGUCCCAGUUGAUUUGGACCCCCGUAGAUUUGGACCCCCGUAGAUUUGGACCCCCGGUCCAUAUCCACUAGUAGAUUUGGACCCCCGGGUCCAAAUCUACUAGUGGAUAUGGACCCCUGGGGGUCCAAAUCUACUAGUAAAUAUGGACCCCCGUUGGUCGAUUUGGACCCCCAUCAAAAGUUAAAUAUAUGUAAUGUGAACACAAUAAUAUAAACCAAAUUCAUAAUAGCGAUCAAUCUGAAGUAUUUAGUCACUUUAAAUAUUUGUGAUAAAGGCCACAAAACGUAAAAUAGAAAAAUAGAAUACAAUCGUAGAAAUUGCAUACAGCAUUUGGAUCGACACAAAACACAAUUUUCAUGAAUGUUUUUAAACAAUAAGUGAUGGUGACUCAUCUGAAUGUGGGAAGCCUGCGACUAUCCACUAAUGGUUUUAAGAAAAGCUAUAGAAAUAGAAUAUUAGAGCAAUGCGAUUCCAUGAAAAUUUUUAAACAAUAAGUGAUGGUGGCUCAUCUAAAUGGAAGCCUUUUUAGCUAUUUUGCUCAUAUAAACGUCAUAUUGCGUAUAUACAUGAGUUUUUAGUGUGUUUAUUUAUCCUUUUAUAGUUGUAUACACACUUUCCAUGCAUUUGGACCUUUCUAGUUCACUUGUAGUUUAAGAUUUUUGAAUUUGGAUCUCACUGGCAAUAAAAAGUUUUCUAUUCACAAUAAAUGACUAUGUGUGGUUGAUAAGUAGCUACGGGUAUCGGAAAACUAAUGAAUUUAACAUAUUCACUGUUAUUGGGGUUGUUCUUAGUGUAGAAAACUGUUUAAAAAAGGUCCAUAUCCGCUAAAGGGGGUCCAUAUCUGCUAGGAGAUUUGGACCGGGGGGUCCAUAUCUACUAGGAGAUUUGGACCGGGGGGUCCAAAUCUACUGGGGGGUCCAAAUCCGCUGUGACACCGGGACAAUUUUGUUGUUUUGACAUUGUUUUGACAGUUGUUAAAAAUAGCUUGCGGCAGUAUCGUUGAACUUUCAUUGAACUUUCAUCCUGACAACUGGGCUAGCCUGCUUGUGAUUGUUUAUAUGGAGAAAUUUCCAUCCUGGUCUCUGCAACAGGGCCUCCCGCUUGUACAUAGAAACAAUUUUAAUUAUAAUUUUUACUAUAAAAAUAA